rnacentral:rRNA from 1 species
CCUACGGGUGGCAGCAGUGGGGAAUAUUGGACAAUGGGCGAAAGCCUGAUCCAGCCAUGCCGCGUGUGUGAAGAAGGCCUUCGGGUUGUAAAGCACUUUCAGUGGGGAAGAAAGCCUUGGGGCUAAUACCCUCGAGGAAGGACAUCACCCACAGAAGAAGCACCGGCUAACUCCGUGCCAGCAGCCGCGGUAAUACGGAGGGUGCGAGCGUUAAUCGGAAUUACUGGGCGUAAAGCGCGCGUAGGCGGUCUGAUAAGCCGGUUGUGAAAGCCCCGGGCUCAACCUGGGAACGGCAUCCGGAACUGUCAGGCUAGAGUGCAGGAGAGGAAGGUAGAAUUCCCGGUGUAGCGGUGAAAUGCGUAGAGAUCGGGAGGAAUACCAGUGGCGAAGGCGGCCUUCUGGACUGACACUGACGCUGAGGUGCGAAAGCGUGGGUAGCAAACAGGAUUAGAUACCCCGAUAGUC